rnacentral:lncRNA from 1 species
UGGCCGCCAGAGCCCUUCCUACCCCUCCCCUGCACCUUCACACCUCCCCUGAGGCAGGACCCUCUUCACUUCAGGGGCUCCUCACCCCAGAAGGACCUGACUGGCCCCUGCAGCCUGCAGAGAUCCCUCCCACCCUGCCACCUGCUGGGUGCGCUAGGGCGGCCUAGUGCAGGCCGCUGCCCCUCGCUCUGUUGACAGACCUGCCCCCUUGUGCUUGCUCUUCCCCCUCCAGGCACUCUGAGCCUGGCACUCAGAGCACCCGGCACCCCUGGGUCUGCCCACGCUGUCCCUCUGCCUGCGGUGCCGGGGAGCACCUCGGCCAACAGCGAGAGCUGGCUCUGUGGGAAGACCCCCCACCCCGCCGUCCUGCGCUCAUUCAACAAGUGCCUGCUGAUGGGGUGCUGAGCGGGGUGCUGCUCGGGCUGGGGAGCCGGUGUCCCUGCUCGCCCUGCCUCCCCACAGCCGUGGACAGCAGCUCCUAAGGGCUGUCGCUGCAGGACUCAGGCCAGCUGUGCCGUGGGGAGCCUUGGCGGUGACCUCUGGCCAGCAGCAGUGGGGCAGGGGGAGGGCUGCAGGGAGCACGAGGAGACGAGCCCUCUGAGCAGAGGGACCCGGCCAUCCACACGGGUGUGCGAGACUCUGCUGCCCGCCUCGCCUCUCAGGGAGCAGAGGUUUCUACAGAGGAGGGAAUGUGGGGGCAGCAGGGCCCGCUCACCUCUGCGGAAAGCAGGUCUCGGGCCUGGGUGCUGGUGGCAGUGCCCUGUGGGCAGGGCUGGGACAGCACCUGUGUAGCACAGCCACGGGCGGCUGCGUGCUCUGCUGACCUGGCUCUUUGUGCUAUGAGUGCUGCGUAUUCUCCCUUGAAGAGGGGCAUUGCAGGGUGGGCUCGAGACAUGAAGGGCCACCAGAAGGCCCAAGAGAGCACGUGACGCCUUGGGCAGCAGCACUGGCAGCGGCCCUGCGGAUGUCCACCCAGACACGCUCUGGUGCCAGGCCCUCAUCCAAACACCCUGAGGGGGCAGGGUGCUGUGCCCACGGGGCAGGGAGGAAACUGAGGCUCGGGUGUGUAAUCGCCGGGGGGCACAGACGGUGAGAGACAGUCGGAAGCUGGCGGCAGCCGGGCGCCUGAGCCCAUCGGCGCACUGCAGAGGGGCAUGUGUUCCAGGGAGGAAGGACGGGGCGUGUGAGAGGCCACACUAUUCAGAGGACGGUUGGCCAGGCAUCGUGCCGGAAGUCCAGCUCCUUGGCUUGGUGGGUAAAGGUGGUCAGCUGCAAUGGGGAGACCCUGCCAGGUCCCCUGGGCAGUGUGGUUCCCUGGAUAGCAUGGUCCCUGGACAGUGUUGUCCCUGGGCAGCGUGGCCACCGGGCAGCAUGGUCCCUGGGCAACUGGCCACCGGGCAGCAAUGUCCCAGGGAAGCAUGGUCCUGGGGCAGCAUGGUCCUGGGGCAGCAUGACUCCUGAGCAGGAUAGUCCCUGGGCAGAGUGGUCUCUGUACAGCAUGACCCCUGGGCAGUGUGACCCCUGGGCAGCGAGUUCCCUGGGCAACCUGGUCCCUCG